rnacentral:lncRNA from 1 species
GCAGCGCUUACCUCGAAAGAUGUUUAAGACUGAACCAGUGAUUGUCUCCAACUCCGGGCACUCAGGGAAUCGCCUUUUCCGGUGUCCUGGCGCUCUGCGGACAAAUAAACAGCAGAGAGUAAACGGUGGCUGCGAAGGAAGGGAGCUGGAGAACCGGAGUUGGAAGUGCGGCCCUGCACGGGCGCCAGGGUGGCCCCCGGGGUGACGCGGACACGGAGGAGUCGCCAGGGCACUCGUCCAUGAGGCGCACUCGUUGCUCGAAAGGGUCCAGUCUAAGAAUGGCCUGCAGAUGAUGAUUUAUUUUUGUAAAAUAAAUACAUACUCCAUCUCCGCACCCACAUUCUCCUCUUUCUUUCUUUUUACGGGGGCUGGGAUGGGGGAAGGGGGUAGGGAGAAGAAAAUGGAUAGGCGGAGGAAGAUGGGAAGGUGGAAGAAGCUUUGCCGUUGGUGCCAGCUCUGCUCCAAGAGCUCCUCACGCACCUCAACUUGGGGAAUGUGAAUGCACGCUUUAUUUUCUUUCGCUAACAAAGGGAAGCCCUGUCUGGGAGCAUUCAAUCACAGACUCUCUUGAAACCUCGCUAAUAGUGCUCAUUUCUGUUUGACUCGAAAUCAGACCCCGGCGCAGUCUUUGGGCUGGGGGGCAGUCUUGAGAGGUUUUGUCUUCUGGUUUAUUCAAGCCCUGGGUGCCUCACUUCUCGGUCCCAGUGGGCUGGCGGGACCACCGCAGCGCCCAGUCCCUAAGAGUAGGCCAACUGCGGCUGGUUGGAAAUAGGGGAAGACUAGGAAGGAUGCAGACAUCUGACAAUACCCGAUCUGGGGGCCCUAACCAGCCUUGCCUUGCACAGCAGUCCCAAGCCAACCGAUGCCCUAAUUCUGCUGCCAACUUGUCUCUCAAGGUAUCUGCAACCCUCUCUUGCUCUCUAAGUAGCAAAUGGUCAGCCAACUUUCCGGAGAUGGAGAGAAGACGCUGGGGAAGGUGGAGAAGAAUCAUCCCCAAUGCUGAACCCCGGCUAGAUUCUCCACUGCCUGGGACUCUGCUGGGCCGGUUGCUUCCACAAACCUACUCCCCACUACCCCUUCACCCCCCGCCCGGUAGCCUCCCCACAAGCCAGCCUGCCCCCAACCAGCCCUGGAUGCCUGAUCCCAGUCAAUGCAGUCCUGUUGAUGGCCUGAGAGACCACCAAAUAGCUGACAAGCCCCCUGACCCUCAGGCUUCAGGGCCCCCUAGCACACUGAACAAAUGGCGGAAAACCAGCAACUAGUUGCCCUCUGCCACCCUCUCGACCUGUAGCCCUCACCCUCCAUCAGGCCCUUGGGACUCAGAAUCCACGCUGGGCCCCUUUCUCUUAUUCAAAUUCGCCCUCUAUGUCCCCACAGGGAGUGUCUCCGGCCUUGGGGCUCCUGGAGGGACCCUGAGCGUGGUGGGGCUUAGCUACCCUGCACAAUGCCACUCAACUUCGCCCCAGAAAGAACCGCUAUGCCGCCAUCCGCCACCCCUCCCCACCAACGACGCUUAGGAGUAUUGUAAUUAUUAUGGUUAUUGUUGUUGCUAUUUCCUUAUCCCCAAGUCAAAUAUUCAUGGCUGCCGUUCCCCAUAAAUCGUUCAGACUAAUGAGUCACAAAGAGAUGUUGCCCAGGUCUCUUUCCCUCUGCAAUGGCCGCCGCCGCCGCCGCCACCGCCGCCGUGGCCUCUCUCUCGGCGUUUUUGGCGCUCGCUUGCUCCCUCGCUCGCCCGGCGCGGGUGAUUUAUGAACACCGGGAAAAUUGAACAAAGCCGCGCGCCGGUCCUGUGGUAUCUCUGCAGCCUUCCCCCGUGUGAAUCAGAACAUUAUCAACUGUCUGCGCAUCCGUCCCACUUCAUCACUAAAGCCGGGAUGUGACCGCAGAAAACCCAGCCCAAACUCACGUUUCCCCGGACGCGGCGCGCUCCCCGGACUUGCAGAAACCCUGAAGAAAAAGCCCCCAAACCCGGCGUGGGCCCGCCNGGGGCCCCGCCAGCUCCGGUCCUCCCCGCCGAAGGGCUCUCUCUUCAAACCUCCUGAAGGAGUUAAAAGCCUUUGGAGAUAAAUCUGAGGGUGUGUGUUUUUAAAAAUCAAAUAGGAAGUUGGGGUCUCACUUCUGAGAGAUUCAUUCCUAGUGCGGCCCUGACGACUCCGAUCCAUUCCUGACGAUCCGCAUUAAUUAUUUAAUGAGUCACGUGACCUCAAAAGAUUACAAUUUCAAUAUCUCCCUCGAACUGGCGCUACACCUUUAUCUGCUGCAACGAUGGUCCUUGUUUGGCUUUUUUAGUUCCCAGGCCUCCAGAACGCAGACACUCCUUGCUCCUUGCUCAACUCCAGGGCAAGCGACUGCCAUGGAAAUCCCAGGGCCAGCAUAGAAUUAGUCAUUCUGGAACUAUGAGCAUUGUGGACAGUGGGGUGCCCACCGCUCUCCCAGGCACCCAGGCAUCUGUCCCCUCCUGGGACCAAAGGUCAGCCCACCUGUGUCAGUGCCCAGGCUAAGGCGCUUUGGUGACCUAAUCUCCUGGGGCCGCUUUGAUGGCGCUUCAGGCGAGAACCCACCCUACCUCCCUGGACACCUCAGCACACCUGUGGCCAUCCUUGUCAAGUGUUAGCCCAGAGGCAGGUCCAUUCCAGGCAGAAUAGGCUUGCCCAGAGGAAAGAUGCCUGUGCACUUACCCCUCUCCAAGGUGAGACCAAAGGCUCUAUUCAACCUGCACAUUCAUUAACAGGAACAUGGGGGAACAUUCAACUGCCUUAGUUUCCUCUACCGUAAACUGAGAAGAUUGAACCAAAAUGGCCUCCAAAUCUCUUUCACCUCGGACAUUCUUUGAAGCAAGGAUCUCUUGUAGCCCCAGAAAUCAAGCCCAGAGACAGGGGAGCUGGCCUGAGUGGGUGGCGGGAGUUACUCCAUGAGUGUGGGACCUUGAGAAGUGAUACCAGAAUUCCAAGAGAGAAGUUUCAUACUAGAAUGUUUCAUCAACAGCCCCAGCACCCUCCCUGAUUCCAACAAGAAGUGAGAACCCAUAUUCUUUCCUCCUCCUAUUUUUCCUAGCCCUUAGCCUUUGAUAGAGGAAGCAGAGUUCUUCUUGGGCCCCUGGGGUAUAAUAUAGAAGAGGGGCAAUAGGAACAGCCCUUGGGAAGGCUGAGCCUAUGUUCUUCAAUACAGGGCUGCGGCUAGGAUAGGGAUGCAAGCCAAAGGAGUGCAAAGAACAGCCUACUCCCUGCACAGAACCCACCCAUUCAGACAGGAAGCCCCCCCCCCCACUCUCUGUUUGCUACACUGAUUCUUUGGGUAUCUUUUUUCCCUUUCAUUCUAAAGAGUCCUAGAUCAGUUUCUAUGUUGCAACUGCUGGAGAGAAGGCAGUGGUGAGAAGAGCAGCCCAGUUUGGAAGCUUAGAAGAUCAGGGGGACAGAGUAGAGAUGGAGAUACCCACCCCUCGGGGGAAGAAGCUGAGAGGUGAGGGGGGGGGGGGGGGGUGCGGAAUGUGAGCACCCUCGAAGAGCUGGGUAUAAAGUCAGAGAUUCUGUGCAGAGGGCCCACUCCCCAUAUAUCUAGGUAAUCUUCCCAGGAGCCCCAUCCUGGGUAUUAAGUACUCUACUAUGCCUGUCACAGUUGAAUUCCCGCUGUAAUAAAACACCGGGUAUAUCGUAGAUUUCAGCAAAACUAGGAAAGAGAGCCUGCAAAAUGCCAUUUUUCUUCAGUGGGGAGAGUGUUAAGUACUUAAUUCAAACUGUGACCAUUAAAGUGUCUCCCAUCCGAUUUAAGUUGAUUUCAGAUGUUGACAAAACUUUUAUCUCCAGAGUCAUGCACAGCUUGGCUCUGUGACUAAAGCAAAAGAGUGUGUGUUAGAGGGAAGGAGGGGGGAAAGAGAAAAAGAAGAGGGCAGCAUGUGUAAGGGUCAUUUUGGUAGGAGAAUUAUAGAGCUUACACAAAAUACUGUCUUUAAAGGUCAAGGGUUUGAGGGGCCACUAGGGUUCGCGUAAAAAAAAAAAAAAACAAUUAAUGAGAUAGAAAAUUUGUCCUCUGGGUGAACUCUUAUGGUUGCCCUAGCAAAGGGAAGACAAUGCAUGAUUUUAAAGCACAAAGUGGGAUUUUUCUAAGCUGUUCUAACAAGCUCCCUUAAAGACCAAAUUAAAACAGGAAAAACACUAAAGAAAUGACACAAUCCUUUGGGUCAUUUUGGAUCAUUUUGGCUUUGUAACACUUACCAAUACCUUAAUAAUUAAGACAGCUUAGACAAAAAUGCCAUUUUGUCUUGGUAUAUUAGAAAAACAAUCUGUCCAUCCUUUCUCUUCCUUUCCUGGACAGACUAUAAGAGUAAGUGAAAGAAAGUUAUCCCCUUUAUCCCCACACAACUGCCUCCUGUAUGAAGCUGGAAUGAAUGCCUCUAUACCCCUCCUUCCCUACAAAGGAGAAAUAUAAGAAUUUACCUUAAAUGAUGAUAAUCUGCCAUUUGAGGUUUUGCAGCUUGACACUCAGUUUCCACCAAGAGUCUAGGCAUUUUUUGAGCAGACAGCCGAGAUGCUGCGUCUUUGCCCGAGACCAUAUUAUUUGCAAGAAGAUCCCUUGCUUCUCCACAGACUUUUCCCAGAGAAUGCCUUUCAGAAUUGCUGUUGAAUUACAAAGAAGUAUUUAUUGUAUGAGGUGAUUAAUGAUUCCUGGGAAAAUUGCUAUUUUCAGCGUGAUUUAAUUUCGUUUUACAAGUGCGUGUAGUAGGGGGAGGGUUAAUAAGUUUCAGCAGCAGUUGCAGUGUCCCCAGAAAUCCCUGGCACCCGUUCACACCAUAUAAAACGUACUUCACGCCAGGUUUGGCCUGACUUGGGAAGGCAUGCAUUUGUUUGCUCCUGAAUUUUCUUGGGGAGAGGUGGAGGCCCUUCAGAGACUGGUGUCCAUCACGCUCCUCUCAGAUAUGGUUUGUUCAUAGGUAAAGAACUGAUCACCCUUGCCUGUAUCACACACAGGGCGGCAGCGGCAUGAGGAGGAACAGCACUGCCCGCUGGCUAAGGGUUUGCCAUUGACUGAAAAAUGUGCUUAAGAUUCCUCUGAUAGUCCAAAGGUAGGUGAGCGCCCCCUCCCAUCUCUGCUAAAAUUAUAACGCGAACCUAACAUUGCACUCAUAUAAGGCCAGGUGACAGUUACAUUCUAGGGGUGGCAUGUGUUGGUUUUCUGCAUCUUGUUGUAGAAUACUCCUUCGGUGACAACCAAGUCUAAAUCCUCUUUACUGAUCUGUAAAUCAGCACAUAAACACUAUGGUUAUAGAGACCUCCCUGGGUUUUGAUUUUCAGCCUUUGAAUCUAAAUCUUUAGGUUGGGCAGAAAGAUCCAGGAGCACUUAAGAAAAGUGACCCUCGCUCAGAGUUGAGCUUUCUUCCAGCACUGAAUACUCCCAGGUCUGCCUUGCUUGGGGUAUAUUUUGAGGGUGGCAUUAUGCUUUUUCUUUCCUCAGAAGAAACUUUGGAAGGUUUAUUAGGAAAAUUCAGUUUAUUUUGAAAGCUCUGGCUUCAGAAGGAAAGAGGUAAAGAAAGAAAGACAAAAACCCCGAAGCUGUAGUGAAGUGAACCUUAAAGACAGCCAAGAAACAAAAAAGCAAUCUAAAUUCUUUGCAUAAACUAUUUUUUUCUAUCUCCAGGGAAACAGGCAGAUUAAGUGUGAAGGUGCAAUAAAUACCAAAGGGACCACUUCUUUCCAAGUGUGCUCAGAGUUCAGCCUGUAGAACAGCUGCAGAAACUCCUGGGCCCGAAGCACUGCGUGGUUUCACCUUUCAUUGCAGGGAAGGACACGUUUCUAUGCCUUACAGAGACUUGAAGCCUGAAAGCCUGGCCAAGUUUGGGAAGAAGAGGAGCCCUCUCAGAGCUCAAGAGCCUUCCUGCUCUUUGGAACUUUUCCCACCGUGGGUCAAACUUGACAAGAGUUCAGCUCAAGUUGAAUACACUCACACAAAUUAUGUGAGCAGUCAGAAUCCAAGUGAACAUAACUUGAGCCAUCUACAAGAUUUUUACACACAAGGGCAGACAUCUCCAUCCAGAGAACCUUUUUUUUUUAAUUAAAAGUAGGAAACAUACAAAUGUGUCUUAGAACUUUUAAUGGUUUUUAAAACAGAGUUUAUUCUUAGCACAUGGCUUUUUAUAUAGCCACACCACAAUUUGUACAGUUGCACAUGGGUCGAAAUGCACUCCCCUCUCCCCCGAGAUUGUGCCUCAGAAUAAGACAACAAUAUCUCUACAACAAUAUUUUAAAUAAAUGCAAGGAAAGGAAACUAACAUGUGUCACAUCUACCAUCAAGGUCUAUACAUUUUGAGAAUUAAAUAAUCUUGUGAGGUCCACAAUGUCUACUCGUUUAUUCAGUUCAAUACAAGCUUGUAUGAGCUGCCUUAAUGUGGAAGGGGGAGGUAGGGAAGGUGGGGGAAAGGAUCUGUUUCCUUCUGCUUGCAACAAACAUACAGGUAUAUGUCCCCAGUCAGCGUGGGCUAUCCAGCUGACUUUAGCCAUCUCAAAAGUAUUGGUUGCCAAGUGGUCCUCCUCAGGUACCCAAUCCUGGCGGCCUUAUUCAGGCCAGCCAGCAUCCUGGCUAUUGUCUGCUCUUAGUUGGCAACCAGCACACUCUCUUUGGGGGAGAAUGUCUUCUUUUUCAUUAUCCUUUUCGCCAAGCUGGGUUUUGUUUUGGGGUCUGUUAUAGUCCAGACAGGUAGGAGUAUGGGGAAAGGGGCAGAAGAGAGGAGAAAAACAGGUGGGGGGAUGAAACUGGUCUAGAUCUCUGAAGGUUAUAUGGAGGAGGGAAUGGGUGUUGAGGCGCCCUGGUGGGGGUGAGGAUGCAGGUGCGGGCUCUGAGUUUGUGCUUUCCCUGGCGGGCCUGCUGAGGCCGAGGCCGAGUUGGAGGAUCGCAUCUUAGUGUUGGGCAAUUUGUGAUCUUUCUUCCACUUCAUCCUCCGGUUCUGAAACCAGAUCUUGACCUGGCGCUCGGACAAGCAGAGCGUGUGGGCGAUCUCGAUGCGGCGCCGCCGGGUCAGGUAGCGGUUAAAGUGGAACUCCUUCUCCAGCUCCAAGACCUGCUGUCGGGUGUAUGCGGUUCGAGAGCGCUUGGGCUCCCCUCCGUUAUAACUGGGGUUGACUGAAAGCCCAUAACCCCGAAGGAGAAUGCCAAGGAGGAGGGAGUGGAAGAGAGGGAAAGGAGGAGGAGAGAGAAGGUGGGGUGGGGAAGAGCAAUUGGACAUCAUCAUUAUAUAAUAACCUGACACCAAGUUCACGCAAGAUACAUAAAACGGCAAAGAAAAUGUUUCACAGGCUAUUGACAACGGGAAACACCCGAGAGCCAUAAAGAAUGGUGCUGGGCAUUGGGGCUGAAGAAAAGCUUCAAAGACACAUGGCCUGAAGCCUCUGCCAGGGCAAUUAAAUUUAUGGGGGCUAUAAUUACUGCCCUAACAGUUUGGCGUCUCGUAAAUCUCUCGAUAAAGGGACCCCGGGUACAAAAGGGUUCUCACGUUAGGAUCAGGCGGUUGGCUGGCGCGCACACACCCACAUCCCACUGUAGCUUGGGCCAGAUGGGGGCUCCCCUCCAGAGGCCCCCUUUCCCUCGGCCUCUCCCCCUGACCCUCACCGCGACCCCCGAACCCCGACCCGGCCCCAGCCCACCCUCCCGCGCCUCCCCGGCGGCGCCACAUACCGGCGCUGACAUGGAUCUUCUUCAUCCAGGGGUACACCACGGGCUCCUUGCCUUUCAGGCCCGGCGGGCUCUUGUCGGCCAGGAGCAGCGGGCACGCGGGGGCGCUGCCCCCUGCCGGGACGCCCGGGGUGGCGGGAGCCGCCUCGCAACGCCGCGGGGGUGCGGGGGGCGCCGCGCGGUGCUGCGGGGGAGGUGGCGGCGGCGGCGGGGGCUGCCGCCCGGGCGGCAGGACGUGGCUCGCGUGCAGGCCGUGCGCAGGACCCUUGGCUCGCGCCGGGGGCUGCUCGGGCUGCGGCUGCCGCCCGGGGCUGGCGCCACCGCGGUAGCCAUAGGGGUAGGCGGCUUCGGCGGCACCGUGCGCGGGGUAGAGCGCGGCAGCGGGGUAGGAGGGUUCGCGGGCGGCCCGUGGUGCGUAGUAGGUGGCGGGGGGCUCGCGGCUGUUGCCCGCGUGGGGGAGCUGGGGCUGCUGCGCCGGCAGGUGCUGGGCCGCGGGCGCUGGGGGCUGCUGGUAGCUGGGGCCCCCGCCUGGGCCGCCGUCUCCGCCGCCCGGGCCGCUGUGCUGCGCGUACUCCUCAAAGGGAGGGAACUUGGGCUCGAUGUAGUUGGAGUUUAUCAAAAACGAGCUCAUGGUCAUUAAUUUGUGAAGUGCAAAAAUACUAAUUUUUCUCGCGUUGUCGUUUUUCUGGGCUCGCCGAGGCCCCUCCCCCUCCCGCCGCCGCCAACGCCACCAAAGUUCGCGCCGCUCCUCCCCCCCUCCCGCGCGCACGCGCGCGCGCGCUCGCCUCGGCCCCACGCGCGCCCCGCCUAGUACCCCCACGUGACCCGCCCCCGCCAAUGGGCGCGCCGCGCGCGCGGACCCGGAUCAGGAAGCGCGCGGGCGAGUGAUGGAUGCUGCUGUCCGGCCCCGGGCGGAGGGAGGGAGCUGGAGCUUUGGUCCCCCUCAGCCCCCCAACUUUGGGUCCUGCUGGCAGUUCGGGCCCUGCCAGGGCUUCUGGUCCUCUCGGACGCCCGAGUCGGGCCCUUUUCGUACCCUACUCCUGGUCUAGGCCUCGGGGCAGCCGAGUGGCCGCGGCCCAUCGCUGACCUCGGGCCCAGCCUAGCCUGUCCUGGCGUCUUCUAGGGUUCGAGGCCGGCGGAGGGAAGGAAUGGCGUGAGGACCAAGGAGAUAUCCUGAUUUUAACCGUGGCCCCGGAUUAAAACGAAUAAGGCCAACAGAUCCAUAUUUUCACCAGCUGAUCCCCUUCCCCACAACGUGCUCGCCGAGUCCGCCCGAGAUCCCCUGCUUUGAGAAGCCCGGCAGGAGCCGCAAAGGGUGGGUGGGUGAACAGCUGGGAGAAAUCGGCCAGAGGAGCAAGGCCAUUGCAAUGUAACCGGGUGGGCAUUUUUCAUUUUUCCUUCCUUUUAGAGACAGAAUCUGCUUGAAUUUUUAGCUAAGAAAAAUCAAAACCUUUCUGAUAGCAUCUCAUUUUGAUGGAGAUGUCGGUAUGAGACUUAAACAUGCUUGCAUUUAGUAGGUGCGGCCGUGAGAGAGAAGAUAGCCAAAGGGUGGGAAUAGAUAGCGACGCCCCCACAAAAUCGAGCUUGGAAACCAGCAACUUCCUAUUUCAGAACAAUCCCCAAACAAAAACAAGCUAGGGACAGAAUAGGUACCGUGCCCUGUCUGAUCGCUGACGGUCUUUUCCCCCCGCUAAGAAUUUUAGAUUUUGUCUUUUGGACGCUGCUUUCUAAGGCUGUAUCUGAGGCUAAAGUUACACCUACAGGACAGUCUAUAAUUUCUGAAUUGCUGAAAAUUAGCAUAUUAACGAUAUCAGUAGCUCUGGAAAGUGGGGGGGGGGUGGAGAGGACUGUUGCCUGCCAUUUGGUAAUUGAAAUCUGAUGGGUAAACUAAUUACGCCAUUAUUAAGAAAUAAAUUACUUAUUAAUUCCACCUAAUGUUGAUCUUUGAAGUAAAUACUGAUGCCUUAACUCAUAGUGUGUACUUUCCCUUUCUUUUCCUGAGUGACAGACACACCUGGCUCCUCUACUUUUCAGCCCAGAUUAAAGCAGUGCAAAGUAGCAUAGUCACCAUUCUAAAAAUACUUUCAUAUUGGCAUGCAAAGCAAGGAUUUUUCAGCUGGCGCACCUUAGUUGGUUUUUCAGAGAGCAGGAUAAACAGCCUUCUCACAACUGAGUCUCAACCGCAGACAAGGAAAGUUAUAGCCUAAGCCUGGAGAUACUUCAAAAGGAAUGUCAAUUCUAUCUUCAUUUAUAUCGGUUACUCAUAUGAGUUACUAAAUGCUGGAAUAUAUCCAUUUGAUGGAUAGUCAUUUAAUGCUUAGCCACAUAAAGCCUAUUAUAUGGGACUAAUCUUUAAACUAAUUUAGGAAAAGAGGUUAAAAAAGGGAUCAUGUUAGCUUUCCAACUGGAAUCACCCUGAAGCGGUACAAAGAGGUUUCCCACAUUGGAUGUGUGUCUCUGAAGAGUGCUGUACAUCGACAUGGGGCACCCUGAAAUUUUUUGAAAUGAAAUCUGAGCCACAGACAGAAAUCAAUCUUUAGACAUCCUCUCUAGAGUUGGGGGGAAAUCUAGCCUGUGAUACAGCUGCCUAAAUCUGUAUUUCUCAAAAGCAAGAAAAAAUAAUAUAGACAUAUAUACUAUUUUAUAUGAACAGUAUAUACAUAUAUAAUUUGCAGAACAUAGCUUUCUAAGCUUCAGGGGGAAAAAAUGACAAGGAAAAUUUGCCUUCCUCCUUAUGUCGUCAGCCUUGAGUACUAGGGUCUUAACUAUGUCUGUUUAGUAUUAUUUACAGACACUAAAACACAAAAUUCAUGUUGUUUAGCCUCAGAACCUUCUACCGAGUUUCUAUUUUAAAGUAUUAAUGAGGCACAGGCACUGUUUUGUAUAUGGUUAACCUAAACGGGUUAACUGUGCCUGUGUUUUAUGUGGUUCUAUUACUUGAGGAAGAUGGGCUUACACAGAAUCCCCCAAGGCCUGUAACUUGUCUUUGUGGUUCCUAUCAUAAACACAAACGGAGCCAGGACCACCAAGUGUUAUCUCACACACCGACAUUUUGACAUUUUACUGCAAGAUUUAUGGCUGUAAUAAACAAUCUCAGUACCUUUUCUGAUCCUUCCACAAUCUCUCUUUGCAAGCCAUAGCAUCGUUCCAUUGAAUCAAAUAAUCUUUUGAAAAACACUUUAAAAAGCACACACACAAAAACGUCUUGCCUUUACACAAGAUCCAACACACCAGAGUAAAGCCAGGAAGAGUCUAACUCAAUUAAUAAAUAAACUGAAGUUUACCAGCAGCAUCUCGCCAGAGAAAAGAUGGGAUGCCCUGAAAUCGAGCAGAGAGAGAGCAUGCUAAUCUUCUCACACCAACUGGCUCCAGUCCCUAGCAGGGUGAAAGCGUUAUCCUUUUCUUGGGAAACUGGUGAGCACAUUUGCUCAUUUCCACGUGCAGAGAUAACAUAUAUUCCCAACAAAAGCUUUCUUAAAAUCCCAUUAAAUGAAAUAACUUUUCAUCAUGUCCUCGAAUCCCAGAUGGAAGAGGAGAGCGAAGGGAGUCUAAGGGAGAGGGAGGGCGAAAGGGAGGCAGUGUUUGCAGCCUAGUUUGAAUCUGAUUUGAAUCAUUUUGAAUAUAUUUGGAACAGCCUUCCCUCUUGAAUGCAACCCUGUCCCAAGUUUCAAAGUGACCGAACAGUGACACCGUGUGCAUUUUGUUUCUUAUUAAUCUUACACAUUGACAGUCUUUGUUAAAUCACAAGGCGCGCCCUUCACCAGCCGACAUUUUCAUAUUUGUUAGACGCGCUGACCUGAAGUUCACCUCGGCCUUGGACUUUGCGCUUCUAAAAGGUCUAUACAGUGCCUUUUAGAGAGCAGGGUGCUUUGCCCAGGUCACUCCUUCUCAGGGAAAACCAAGGGGGAAAAGCAAAGGAAAUGUAAACGUUAUGGAAUGUAUUGACUGUAUUUGUCCUUUGUUCUUUAGAGCGAGAGUUCUCCAGACUGUUCUGUGUCUGGAGCGCAUACAGGAAUAGCUGAAUUUCAAAAUGCCUGAUGGUGGUAUUUGAGGGCUUCCCCAAUACCUACACUAGGCAUACGAUUUUAGAGAAGCAAUACUUAAUCAGCCAUUUGACCAAGUAAUUGUUUAAGGGCAGUUUCCUUGUAGUAGUUUAUAAUAGUGGACACAACCCA